GCCUUCGUGGUGUAACGAUUAGCACACUUGGUGCGUAAUCUAGAGGUCUAGGUUCAAGUCCCGGCGAGAGCA
rnacentral:tRNA from 1 species